UAACAUCAGAGAGCGGUUCCUCUGCCCUCCAAAACAACAACUUUCCUACCAUCUUGGAGCUCUGCAGUUUGGAUUCAAGCUGUAUGGAUCUUCUUUUAAGCAGCUACAACAGAUGCUUCUUUAUGAAAUUCUGAACUCCUCCCGAAGGAUCUCUACCCACAUGAAAUGUCAUCGCAAUCAGUGAAAACACCCCUACAGAAUUUCAAGAAACAAUACAAAGAGGAUUUUUGCUAUUGAGAAUCUGAGACACCACAACAAAGUGAAAUGGGGAGGGUCCAAGAAAAAUUUAGGCGUGCCAUUGCUCACACCUGAAGUACUGUGGUGCCCGGGUUCACCAACACAGGCUGGCCGUCCACAAACACCUCUAUUUGGUUGCUGGCUGCCGUGGCAGUUGUACGUCCUGAAAAACAUGGAAAGGGUAAAUAAAGAAAUGUCUGUCAAGUGCUGCUAGAGGCAAA